rnacentral:rRNA from 1 species
AACGAACGCUGGCGGCAUGCCUAACACAUGCAAGUCGAACGAGACCUUCGGGUCUAGUGGCGCACGGGUGCGUAACGCGUGGGAACCUGCCCUUAGGUUCGGAACAACUCCCCGAAAGGGGUGCUAAUACCGGAUAAUGUCUUCGGACCAAGGUUUAUCGCCUUUGGAUGGGCCCGCGUUGGGUUAGCUAGUUGGUAGGGUAAAAGCCUACCAAGGCGACGAUCCAUAGCUGGUCUGAGAGGAUGAUCAGCCACACUGGGACUGAGACACGGCCCAGACUCCUACGGGAGGCAGCAGUGGGGAAUAUUGGACAAUGGGCGAAAGCCUGAUCCAGCAAUGCCGCGUGAGUGAUGAAGGCCUUAGGGUUGUAAAGCUCUUUUACCCGGGAUGAUAAUGACAGUACCGGGAGAAUAAGCUCCGGCUAACUCCGUG